GAAGUAAAAGUCGUAACAAGGUUUCCGUAGGUGAACCUGCGGAAGGAUCAUUAUCAAUAUCAGCGGGCUUCGGCCCCUGCUAUACCCUUGUCUUUUGCGUACCACUUGUUUCCUCGGCGGGCUUGCCUGCCGAUAGGACAAACACAAACCCUUUGUAGUUGCAAUCAGCGUCAGAAAAAAACAAUAAUUAAAACUUUCAACAACGGAUCUCUUGGUUCUGGCAUCGAUGAAGAACGCAGCGAAAUGCGAAAAGUAGUGUGAAUUGCAGAAUUCAGUGAAUCAUCGAAUCUUUGAACGCACAUUGCGCCCCUUGGUAUUCCAUGGGGCAUGCCUGUUCGAGCGUCAUUUGUACCUUCAAGCAAUGCUUGGUGUUGGGUGCUUGUCCGCCAGCGGACUCACCUAAAAGCUAUUGGCAGCCGCCGCAUAGGCAGCAGAGCGCAGCACAUUACCGCGUCUCUGCCCUCCGCGACGGCAUCCACAAGCCCUUUUCAACGUUUGACCUCGGAUCAGGUAGGGAUACCCGCUGAACUUA
rnacentral:sRNA from 1 species